AUUGACAUUUACAUGGGACUUUAAGGUUUCCAAGGUCCUUUACAUAUGUAUUCUUAUGGGAGCCUCACAAGAGCCCUGGAAAGUAUGUACUACAGGUCAAGACAUCAUCAUGGUGUUGGUCUUCUUCAAAAAUGAAGGACAAACAACAAUUUAAAUUGGUAAAAUAUAUCAAUAUCUUUGGUUUCAAAGGAGCAUUCAGUAACAAGAAAACAUAAAAGGACUCAACCACAAAAAAGCAGUGGAAGACAUUUCCAGCAAAAGAAAUUUCUGAUCAUCAGCAAUGAAGGUACAAAGGAAAACAGAAAAGGAAAGCGAGUAAAUAACUUUUGAUGUGGCAGUUUUUUUUAAGUAACAUAGAGAUUUAUACAAGGUGGAUUGCAUCUAUCUAAGGACAAAGAAAUAUAGCAGAAAAAGGACUGAAUUUUCCCACUGCUCUUUGGAGGCAUAGAACCUCCAACUCCAUCUUGACUCUCCCAUUUAUUCCUUGUGUUAAUCUAGGGAUGUGGUAUGACAGAAGAGAACUUAGUCCACACAGAUGGGACAGAUUAGGCUGAAGCUCCAAGGAGGAGGAGGAGGACCAGAUGCAUCUCUCUUGGUAGCUUGUCUCCAGCUGCUCCCUUGGCAUGAUUUGGAUGACUCUCCCUUCAUAUUUCUGAUGAAGAUGGGAGUUUCUCAGGGUGUUCAACCUUCAACCCCCAGCUCCAGCCCUCAGCCCCUUCACUUUCUUAGCUCCAACCUUUUAAGGAUGCCUCACAUCUUUCAAAGUUUAGCUAGCAUGGUCAGGUAGCUUUUCUUCUGAUUUUUAUUUUAAAAAAUCAUAAGAAUUUACCAUUGUAAAAUGUAUCAUAUUUUUCCAAGUGCUCUCCUAUAUACCAUCUUAUUGGAUUCUUCCCCCAAAUCCUGUAAUGUAGGUUAUUUAUAGGGUCAUAGAUCCAUAGCUGGAAGAAACCUCAAAAGCCACCUUUUCCAAUCCCUUCAUUUUCCAGAUAAGGAAACUGAGUCCCAAAGAGGUUAAGUGACUCAUGCUAUGUCACAUACCUAAAUUAAGUAUAAGAGAUAAUAUCCAAGCUCAGGUCCUCUGACUCCAAAACCAGUUUUUUUUGUUGUUGUUUUUUUUUUUUACUAUACCAGCUGUAUUAUUAUUUCCAGGUUAUAGUUGAGGGAACAAGCACCAAAAAGUUAAUGAGGAUUGCCCCAAAUCACCCACCUCUUUAAUGACAGGGUCAGGAGGAGUAGUUUCCUUUCAAGUCCUUCGCCCCUUGCGUGCAUGGGUGGCUUGUGUGGAAUUUACUCCUAUAGCAGAAGAAGGCUUGUGCCCUACAAUGCAGGUGGUAUUGGAAUUCCAGCUGUUGCCAGUGAGAGACUAUUAGAAGUUACAUACCAGGGUCCAUCCACUUCAUAGUCUUUCUGGCCCCAGCUCACAGGCCCUUUGAGAGCUGUUCAUGCUCUGUAUAAAUAUUACCCAGUUUUCAAGUUUCUUUUACCGUGGUGGUUUUAUCUUUUACAGCCAGUGUUUAAAAUAUGUGCUUUAGUAAGCUGUGAUUGUGCAAAACUGGGGGUGGAUAGGGGUGGGGAAAUGUAUUACUUUGGAAAUACAGACUGGAUAAAUAUUACAUAGGGAUUUACUCUUUUAUUAUGGUUUUAAUCAUGAGCUUUCUCUGCGACGACCUGGAUCCCUGGGAUGGGGAAUCAUUCAGCAUCGUGCUCUUUAAAUGCAGAAACUACUGGAUAAACGGAAUCUUAAAAAAAAAAAUAAACGAAAUGAAACAUUUGUUACGGGACAUCAAACAAUGGUUCCAUUGGCACACCUUCUUAAUGUCUUCUUUAUGCAAACGUUAUGGCUUUUGUACCAUUUUCUACUUCUGCUGUUUCCAGUACAUUUAUUUCAAUGAAGGCUGCAGUAAACCUUUAGAGGAAUUUGGGAGAUUGGCCUCUUUCCUUGUGCCCCAGGAUGUGCUUGCACAGGGAACUUGCCUAAACCAGGACUGGGAGACCGGGAGAAGGGAACCCUUUCUGUUUAAACUGCACCAUUUAUGAGAACGACAAAAAACGCCAAACCUAUGUGGUUCAUUUUAGCACUUCAAAUUUUUAUGGAGAUAUUUAAUUAAAUGCAUAGAGGCAGAGUUUGUAUUGCAUUGGAUGUUAAUAUAUUUGCUAGGACUAGAGUUCACUGCUAUUGUCCACAGUCAUUUAGGACUAUAACUAGGAAUUUUGGCACCUGGGGAAAAUUUAGUUGAAAUGGUGGGGAUGCAGUUAUCUAAAUAAGGAGAAAUCUCAGAACUCGGGAUACUAGGCUUCUCUUCGAGGGAGAGAUCUUGGGAAGUUACUCAUGGUGAGAAAGGAGAGGAGAGGGUGGAGACCCUGGGAUAUCACUUUAGGGGAGGGACGAGAAGAGGCCAAGGAAGGAAGGGGUAUAUGGUGGUGGGGAAAGUGGAGUCUAGGACAGGGACACCUCAUUGAUAGGACAAUAAAGGUGGCAAUCCCAUCAAGGCAAGGAAGAGGGGAAAGCUGCAUAGUAUAGAGCUAUCAAGCCCACAGAUGAGAGGAAGUGCAACCCCACCAUAAUGAUGUCCUGGCACAAAGCCCUGAUUGCCUUACCCUAGUUAAGGCGCUGAAAGGAAUGAAGAACAGUAAGUUCAUGAAAUCAAGAUUUUAUUUAUACUGCUAUUGUAAAGGAACAUGAGCGCAAGUUUAAGGAAAAUGCAAUGCCUUGAGGAAAAGUGUUGGUACCCCCAUGACUACCUUUCAAUGCUUUAUCCUCUGGAUUUCAUGAUUUCGCUUAUUUGACGCUGUCUAAUAAAGACAUAUGUAAUGAAGACUUCACUUUUCAAUGUCUUUACUCACUCAUCCAGCAAUUUCUACUAGUGUCUGAGCAAGAGCACCAGUGCAUGAGCAGUAAGAAUAUAACAUAUUGUCAGUACCAAGGGAGGCCUGCCACUCUUUUUGGAUGCGGUAAGUUUGAAAAUGAGACAGCUCCCAGAAGUCUUGAGCAUUCAGAGCAUAACUCAGCUGCCUGUAUGUUCCAUGGAAUGGAUCCCAGACCUGCUGGAUUUCUUUGUCUCCUGGACCCAUUUGACUAAUUGGUCUGAUCCUUUCUUGGCUUUCAGUGCCCAUGUUCCCCUAUCUCAUGCUUAUAUGAAUUAAGCCUAGUUAAAAAAAAUACCGUUAGAACCCAAUAAUUGUUUCUGCUCUGUUCCAUCUAUCUCUGGCCUCCUACACAUGUCCUCACCUUCUCCAGUACAGACAACUAUCUGUUGAGACCAGGACUCAGAUUUUCAAAAGCUGUGCUCUCCCUAGCCUAGUCCCACAUCCAAUGGGACCAUUCCAUGGACACUCACGUGCAGUCAGAAUUUUGCCUUGUAUUCAGUUGGUUUAAGAUAAAGCUUCCAAGAACGAAUUUAACAAAAAUGAACAAAUAAAGUAGAACCUUGCUCUGUAUAAAAAUGUUGGCUAAGAAUGUCUCAGCUGUGACACAUAAGAUACGAAAUUCAAAAAACUGAAGCCUGAAUUGAAUGUAGGCCCAGCAGUCUUUCCAAAAGACAGAUAAGGACCAAAAACCCAAAUCCAACAAACAAACCAAAAUACACAUUGGUUAUUUCUUGUGCUUAAUUUGGUUCAAGAGGGAAGAUUAAAGGUGGGAUAGGGUUGCUGCUUGGGGUAGAUAGGAUGAAGAUAAAAUACAAGAGACUACCAAACUCCUUUUUUGCUUCUGUUUUUGUUCUAAGGAGAAUCAUCUCCAUUCUGGUAAGAUAAACUAAAGCUGUAUAGAAAGGAGCUGAAACCUGAGGAGGAGAUGGUAAGAGAACAUCAGGCUGCUGCGGAUGAGUUCCAGCCACCAGGUCCUGAAAAAGACCUUACGGAUGUGAUUGGUGAACUGCUGAAAUUGAUCUUUCCGAAAGUCUUGGAGAGCAAAUGAGAUGUCACAGGAAUGGAGAUGGACUUUGGUCAAUAUUUUAUCUUCAAUUAUGCAUCUAUGUUGGGCUUAACCAUAUAGUGAGUAUAGAAGAAAGUCCUGGAAAGACUAUCCUAUGCUGCUAUAGUUGGAUUCCAUACUCUUUCCUGAACUGGACUCUGAGGGAUUCCGAGCUGCCUACAGAAAAGUGAAAAACAACGUAAUAGAAACUAAGAGAUGUGAUUUUUUUGAAAUGUCACUCACUGUACAACUAUACAAUCCCAGAGUCAGUCUCAAAGAAGAUCUGGAACCCCAUGUAUCUCUCUCAAAGAUGGAAUGAACAACAUCUCACCUUUCUCAAUCAGUCACAAAGCAUCACAUCAAUCUUCUCUGCAAAAUACUCCAGGCUUGGCUUGGAACCUGGGUUACAUUUACAAGCUGUGUCUCCCAUUAAGAACUAAAUUGUCAUCUCUGCAAUUUCCAUGUUUCUGGUCCUCUUCUCUGGGACCACUCAGAACAAAUCUAGUCCAUCUUCCACAUGAAGCCCUUUGAAUUCUUAAGGACAGUUAUUAUGGCUCCCCCUCCCACCCCUUCUUUUUUCCAAUUUAAACAUCCCCUUUCACUUCAGCUGAGGUUCAUAAGGCAUGGACUGGAGGUCUUUCACAAUUCUGAUGGCUUCUGUUGGAUAUUCUUUGGCCUCUAAACAUUCUUUCUAGAUUGCAGUGCCCAGAAUUAAACACUGAAUUCCUGAAGUGGUCUCACAAGGGAAUAAUAUGGAAAGAUUAUCACAUCUUAGCUCUGGUAAGUUAUGCCCCUGUCAAUGAAGUUUGAGAUCACAUUAUUUUUAGCUGUCAUAUAACAAUAUUGAACCACAUUGACUAUUGACUCAUAUUACAGUAUUGGGUCAUAUUGAAUUUGCAGCCCAGUAAAACCUCUAGUCUUUUUGUUUUUGUUUUAUUUUUCAGGAAAACUACUAAGCAUUCCUCUCCCAUCUUGUGCCUGUGGAGUUUAUUUUUUGAAUCCAAUUUUAAGACUUUUCAUUUAUGCCUGUUAUAUUUAAUCUUACUCAGUUUGGUCUACCGCUCUAGCCUGUCAAGAGCUAUUUGAAAACUGAUUCUGUCAUCUCAUCAUUUCUCUACUUCCUCCCAUCCCCCAACCACAAUUUCUUCAUCUAUAAAAUGACAGGGUUUGGAUUGGAUAAUCUCUCCUGUUCCUUCCAACUCCAUCAAUUUCUCUUUCCCUGAUUCUACAUGUGCCCCAACCUUCUGGAUAAAAACAGAGCAGGUGGGAGAAGAGAGGGGUCUUUAGACUUGGGCUACUUCUGGGAGAAAAGAAUGCUUCCAGGAGAAACUUCCCCAUAUUAGCCACAGCAUCGGACAGACAACCAGAUGCAUUUAUUGGACUCAAGGCAUAAUGGCGGGUGGGAAGGAGGGCAGGACUACCUAUGAAUUAAAUAGGAAAUGCAUUCCCUAUUCUCAUAAAGCUUAUGAUCUUGUUGGAUCCACACAAUUGGAUUUCUAAGUAGUAUGAUAACCUGGUGAGCAUAAAACUGUUUAGUAAAUGCCAGUAGCUUUUAAGAAAAAAAAUGUGGGGAGCUUGGUCCUAUGUUGUUGGGUUUUUUCUUUUUUUCCACAUUCAGUGACAUCCUAACUUGUUUGCUGUUAAACAUUUCUUUACUGUGUUAUUCUUUGCAUGAUCUGUUUCAGGGAUAAGUUGCCCUUGAUUUAAAAAAAAAAGGAAGAAGAAAAUCCAUGUUGAUUUAGUUGGAAAAAUAUGGCUAAUUUUAUUUUGCAAGAUAAAAUUGUUAGGUCAAUUCUUUUGGAAACAGUGGUCAUUUUGUUUUUAGCAAUUUCUUGAGAUGUUCCAACAUCUAUUCAAUCAAUAUGCUUUUGGAUUCAACUGAAUAACAAUCAGAGAAAUCUU